AGUCAACCUACCCUAUGGACGGGAAUAAUCUCGGGAAACUGAGGAUAAUUCCAGAUAGAACACUAUGCCUGGAACGGUUUGUGUUCCAAAUGAUUUAUCGCCGUAGGAUGGGGCUGCGUCCUAUCAGUUUGUUGGUGAGGUAAUGGCCCACCAAGACUAUUACAGGUACGGGCUCUGAGAGGAGUAGCCCGGAGAUGGGUACUGAGACACGGACCCAGGCCCUAUGGGGCGCAGCAGGCGAGAAAACUUUGCAAUGUGCGAAAGCACGACAAGGUUAAUCCGAGUGGUUCCUGCUAAAGGAACCUUUUGACGGUCCUAAAAACACCGUUGAAUAAGGGGUGGGCAAGUUCUGGUGUCAGCCGCCGCGGUAAAACCAGCACCUCAAGUGGUCAGGAUGAUUAUUGGGCCUAAAGCAUCCGUAGCCGGCUCUGUGAGUUUUCGGUUAAAUCUGUGCGCUCAACGUACAGGCUGCCGGGAAUACUGCAGAGCUAGGGAGUGGGAGAGGUAGACGGUACUUGGUAGGAAGGGGUAAAAUCCUUUGAUCUAUUGAUGACCACCUGUGGCGAAGGCGGUCUACCAGAACACGUCCGACGGUGAGGGAUGAAAGCUGGGGGAGCAAACCGGAUUAGAUACCCGGGUAGUCCCAGCUGUAAACCAUGCAAACUCAAUGAUGCAUUGGCUUGAAGCCAAUGCAGUGUU
rnacentral:rRNA from 1 species